rnacentral:lncRNA from 1 species
AUGGGCCGCUGAGCCCGAAUCGGGCACUGUGUGGAGCCCCCUGGAGCUGAGAUCAGGAUGUUCCGCUUCAUGAGGGACGUGGAGCCUGAGGAUCCCAUGUUCCUGAUGUGAGUAUUCCCUCCCCCUCAAGCUCUCCCACUCCAGGUCUCUGAGCAGUUCAGGCAGACAUCGGGGUUCCCAUUGCUAGGAAUGGUUGGAACUGGCUGGAUACCUAGCUCCUACCUAGCAGGAAGUAGGCAUCGGUGCCACUGUUGCUCUGUGCGUAUUUUUUUGCAGGGUGGUGGAGGGAUUGACAGUUUGGCGCUUCUGCCAUCCAUACUAUGUGCUCACUCCACAGGGAUCCCUUUGCUAUUCACCGUCAGCAUAUGAGCCGUAUGUUGUCAGGUGGCUUUGGAUAUAGCCCCUUCCUCAGCAUCACAGAUGGCAACAUGCCAGGGACCAGGCCUGCCAGCCGCCGGAUGCAGCAGGUAAUGAUGCUGAGACACACCUGAGACCCAAAGAAAGGUUGGAGGUUAGUUAGGAAAGCACUUAAUUUUCUUGCACUACAGCCAACUGAGCAAGUGAAAUGCU